ACCAGAGUGAGAACUUGAAGGGGUGGCCUU
rnacentral:piRNA from 1 species